CAGCUUGCCUUGGAAUUCGGGCCCCCCUAGCCCCCACCGAAACCCUGAUCGGAUCCAGCUCCGAGGUCACAGGAGGAAGGCGGUGGAGAAGUGUCAGGAACCCCUGGCCCGGAGCGCAGAGCUAUUUGUGGACGAGUUGUCAGAAGUAAAGAGACAGAGGCAGCGCCGGCCCAAUAGGGCCAGCGCUCUGACUGUCGCCAACUUACCUAUCUGGACACAGGCAACCCCCAGGCCCAAUCCCCCUCUCGUAGCCCCCCUAAAUCUCUCUUUUCCUAGUCCCCCACGCCACUCACCAUGUCUCGGAGCACUUGGGCCUCUCAAAGCAGUACUCGCCUAGUCUGUUUCCACUCAAGGCAGCCACAGCUUCACUUCCUGCUUACUCCAACUUUCUGCCCGCCUCCUGCCCAUCCCGCGACUCCAGCCUCUCCAGCUCCUGCCACACCUAACUGCAGGUUUCUCCAGUUCCUCAAAGCUGUUUUUGUUCAAAGCUGGAAGAACUAAGUCUUCUCAUAUGAGCAUGGAAUGAAUGGGCAGGGAUUAACAAAAGCAAAAGGAUGAGGUCUCACAGGAAACAUCCAGGUUGGUCUGGAACUUACUAUGUACCUGAGGACAACCUUGAACUCCCAAUACUCCUGGCUCCACCUUCUGAGUGUUGGCUUGCACCACCACAUUUAGCAUUGAUGUAUAUUUUUUGAAAUUUAUUUUUAUUAUUUUUAGUUAUGUGUGUAGGUCUGUGUGAGGGAUUGUGCACAUGAUUGCAGGUGCCCUCAGAGGCCAGAGGUCUGGAAUCCCCCAGGAUCUGGAGUUAAAGAGAGUCCUCUCUACAAGGGCAAGACCAAACACGCUCUGAACGGCUGCCCUCUCUCCACACCUAGAUACUCAUUUAUAAAUCUUCUCAAUGUAAAGCUCUUCAGAAUAGGAGCUGGAAAGACACUCAGUUGCUACUCUGCAGAGGACACAGGUCUAUUCCCAGCACCACAUUCUGGGGCUCAUAACCCAUUGUAACUCCAGCUACAGGUUAUCUGACACUCUCUUCUGGUCUUUGUGGGCACCUGCACACACAAGGCAUAUAGAUACACAAAUACACACAUCAAUAAAAAGAGAUCUUUAAAAACAUCUCCAGAGCUGGGGUUGUAGCUCAGACAUACAGUGCUUGCCUAGUGUACUCUAGGAUUUGGGUUUGAGUCCCAGCAUUACACACACACAUACACACACUUAAAAAAAAAAAAAGCCAGAACUCAUAGCACAUGUCUGUAAUACCAGGACUCAGGAGGUAGAAGCAACAGAACUGAUAGUUCAUGGUAACCCUCACCUACAGUGUUUGAGCCAGCCUGGGCCACAUGAGACCCUAUCUCGAAACAGAACAAAAAUAAACACAGAAAACUA